rnacentral:rRNA from 1 species
GUGGGGAAUAUUGGACAAUGGGCGAAAGCCUGAUCCAGCCAUGCCGCGUGUGUGAAGAAGGUCUUCGGAUUGUAAAGCACUUUAAGUUGGGAGGAAGGGCAGUAAGUUAAUACCUUGCUGUUUUGACGUUACCGACAGAAUAAGCACCGGCUAACUCUGUGCCAGCAGCCGCGGUAAUACAGAGGGUGCAAGCGUUAAUCGGAAUUACUGGGCGUAAAGCGCGCGUAGGUGGUUCGUUAAGUUGGAUGUGAAAGCCCCGGGCUCAACCUGGGAACUGCAUCCAAAACUGGCGAGCUAGAGUACGGUAGAGGGUGGUGGAAUUUCCUGUGUAGCGGUGAAAUGCGUAGAUAUAGGAAGGAACACCAGUGGCGAAGGCGACCACCUGGACUGAUACUGACACUGAGGUGCGAAAGCGUGGGGAGCAAACAGGAUUAGAUACCCGGGUAGUCC